CCUACGGGAGGCAGCAGUGGGGAAUAUUGGGCAAUGGGCGCAAGCCUGACCCAGCAACGCCGCGUGAAGGAAGAAGGCUUUCGGGUUGUAAACUUCUUUUGUCAGGGAAGAGUAGAAGACGGUACCUGACGAAUAAGCCACGGCUAACUACGUGCCAGCAGCCGCGGUAAUACGUAGGUGGCAAGCGUUUGCCGGAUUUACUGGGUGUAAAGGGCGUGUAGCCGGGUUGACAAGUCAGAUGUGAAAUCCUGCGGCUUAACCGCAGAACUGCAUUUUAAACUGUGGAUCUUGAGUACUGGAGAGGCAGACGGAAGUCCGAGUGUAGCGGGGAAAUGCGGAGAUAUUAGGAGGAACACCAGUGGCGAAGGCGGUCUGCUGGACAGCAACUGACGGUGAGGCGCGAAAGCGUUGGGAGCAAACAGGAUUAGAUACCCCUGUAGUC
rnacentral:rRNA from 1 species